rnacentral:rRNA from 1 species
UACGGGGGGGGCAAGCGUUGUUCGGAAUUACUGGGCGUAAAGGGCUCGUAGGCGGCCAACUAAGUCGGACGUGAAAUCCCCAGGCUCAACCUGGGAACUGCGUCCGAUACUGGAUGGCUUGAAUCCGGGAGAGGGAUGCAGAAUUCCAGGUGUAGCGGUGAAAUGCGUAGAUAUCUGGAGGAACAUCGGUGGCGAAGGCGGCAUCCUGGACCGGUAUUGACGCUGAGGCGCGAAAGCCAGGGGAGCAAACGGG